GUGGCCAUGCUUUGUGUAUCUUGAACGCGGUCGAAUGUUUUAUAGACUAUUGGAAAUGAGUCAUCUUGGAGGACUAGUGAAGAGAUGAUGCUCUGUCGUGCAGCCCUCUCAGUAUAUUUUCCUUGUCAGAUUAGAUCCUUGCAAGCAGUUGGUUUGGGUGAAGACCACUUAUAUUCCAGAAAUGUGGUGUCCCGAUUUUUUUGCCGCUAGCUUAUGAGCCUGAUGUCUUUUAAA
rnacentral:lncRNA from 1 species